GCACAGCUGGAAUGGCACAGCCCGGGAGGUACAGCCUGAAACAGCUGGAAUAGCACAGCCCGGGAGGUACAACCUGUGGGUGUCACACACACACACACACACACACACACACACACACACACACACACACACACAGCCUGCCAACAGCCUGGCAGCACACCCAGGGGCUGCCCAGCGCUGGUGACACCGUGGGGGUGUCACUGUGUGUGUUUGUGUCACCCGCUGUGUGCCUGUGUGUGACUCCCUCUGCGUGUGGCUCCGCUCCUUGUGUGUGCGUGUGUCACUGUGCGUGUGUGUGGGUCCCCUCCUCAGUGCGUGUGUCACUCCCUCUCUGUUUGUGUGUGUGUCACUGUGCGUGUGUCACUGUCUGUGUCACUCCAUGUGUGUGGCUCUGAGUGUGUCACUGUGCGUGUGUCACUCUGUGUGUGUCACUGUCUGUGUCAGUGUCUGUGGCACUCUGUGUGUGGCACUCUGUGCCGGUGCGUGUGUCACUCUGUGUGUGUGUCACUCUGUGUGUCACUGUGCAUGUGUCACUGUGUGUCCCUGUCUGUGCCAUUGUGCAGGUGUCACUGUCUGUGUCACUCUGUGUGUGUCACUGUCUGUGUCGGUGUCUGUGUCACUGUCUGUGUCACUCUGUGUGUGGCACUCUGUGUCAGUGUCUGUGUCAGUGUCUGUGUCACUGUCUGUGUCACUCUGUGUGUCACUGUGCGUGUGUCACUGUGUGUCCCUGUCUGUGCCAUUGUGCGGAUGUCAAUGUUUGUGUCACUCUCUGUGUGUCACUCUGUCUGUGUCAGUGCGUGUGUCACUCUGUGUGUGGCACUGUCUGUGUCGGUGUCUGUGUCAUUCUGUGUGUGUCGGUGCGUGUGUCACUCUGUGUGUGUCACUCUGUCUGUGUCAGUGUCUGUGUCACUGUCUGUGUCACUCUGUGUGUGUCACUCUGUCUGUGUCGGUGUCUGUGUCACUGACUGUGUCAUUCUGUGUGUGUCACUGUCUGUGUCCCUGUGCAGUGUCACUCCGAGUGUGUCCCUGUGUCGCUGCCGGCGCUGUCCCGGCGGGCACACAUCCCCGUGUCCGUGCCCAUGUCCGUGUGUCCGUGUCCGUGUCCGUGCCCGUGUCCGUGUCCGUGUGUCUGUCCGUGUCCGUGCCCGUGUCCGUGUCCCUAUCCGUGCCCGUGUCCGUGUCCGUGCCCGUGUCCGUGUCCGUGUCCGUGUCCGUGUCCGUGGGUCCGUGUGUCCGUGUGUCCGUGUCCGUGUCCGUGUCCGUGGGUCCGUGUGUCCGUGUGUCCGUGUCGGUGCCCGUGUCCGUGUCCGUGUCCAUACCCAUGUCCGUGUGUCCGUGUCCGUGCGCGCUCCCGCGGUCCCGCCCCCCCCCCCACCCGCGCGCGCCCCCGCGCCGCCCCCGGAAGCGGCCGCGGGUCACGUGUGCGCGCGGCGCUGCCAUAAACACGGCAAGAUGGCGGCGCUCACGCCGCCCGCCCGCCCGUGCUGCGUCAUGUCGCGCCCCGGCCCCGCCGCGCCCGCAGGCUCGCCGCGAUCUGCGUUCAAACCGCGCUGGGGAAGAUGGAGAUGUGAGAUAAAUUGAGAAUCUACUUGACAUUUCUGCAUUAGGUCUGUGUGGCUUUAGUCCGGCUGAAGCAAAGCACAAAUCUGUGUGUGAGAUGCAAGACAACAAACUGUGUUUGUACUGGGGGAAGAGCUGGAUCCUCCAGAGAAAAUGUCAUCAGCCCUUGGAAUAGGGGUGUGACUCCAACACUUGCUGUGCCAGAGGGUGCUGGGGAGGAAUUGUUCACCUUCUCCCUUUAAAACCCUGAUAAGGAGCUGCUGGAGCGGGAGUAAAAUCCUGAUAGAGUGAUCAAAGUAUGCUUGAAUUGCAAAGCAGUGAUUCUUCUCUCAUCACCUCAGCCUGUGAGAUGUAGAAUUCCCAAUCCCACACUUCAGCCGUGCUGAAAUCGGUAGAAUUCCUCACCUGGAAUACCAAUGGUGGUGUGAAAACACCUGGGAGUGAGAGAGAGCCAAGGGCUCAUUGCUCAUGCAGCUCCUUUUCAAAACCCACCCUUCCACAGCCAGAAAACAUUAAUAUUUUUAGCGAGUUUUUGUUGUGCUUUCCUAGCAACAGCCAAUUCCUUAAUGAUUAAUCCCCAAACUGUGGCAAAUCUGCAAAUUUGGGGAUGCAUGCUGAAGUCAUCUGUGCUGCCUGACGUCAGCAUUGCAUAAUCUGUUGACUGUCCCCUUUUUAUGUAAUGUAUGUUUGGAGUUUGUUUUAAAAUGUGCAAAUGUUUUUUUUUCCCCUGCGUGCUGCUCCUCCUGUAUUCCACGUUUGCCUCUCCAUUGCCCUCUGGAGUUGCAAACUUGUAAGGCAGCGUUUUCAUGGCUGGAUCCAGCCGAGUUUUUGUGUUUCUCUCUUAAAAACAGCCUCUGGAACAUCUCAGCACCUUCUCUUUGCCAGGUGAGUUAUUUAGAGUGUUAAAAAAAAAAAAAAAAACCACCAAUUUUUGGAAAUUCUGCUUCCUGCUGGUGGAAACAUGGAAGCUUCUUGUGCUGCUCCAUCAACAUCAUAAAUGGACUUUUAUUGGAAACUUAGUUACACAUUAACUUUGGCACCAUGAAACUGUUGUGUUUUUUUAAACUCAUUUCAGAACUUGAUGUAUCCAAUUCCCUCAGGCAAUGUGGAGGUGGUAGGAAUAAUUUUGGGAUGUUUUCAGGAAUGCCUGGUUUUAGGGAAGAAAAAACCCAACAGGGGGCAAAGUUGUAGAAAUACACAACAAAGUGUGGGGGUGGAGAAAUAGUUCUAUGAUCUUUUCAGCAGUGCCUGUUUUUAAGGAAGGAAAAAAAAAAUGGUGGGGAGUAAAUAUAGGUUGAUGGAAGCUUGUAAUUUAACUAAUUACUGGGAUUGUGUAUUUCAAAUGUUUUUAUGUGGAUUUGAUGACCAAAAAAUGCCAAGUCGGGCACCUGGAGGCUGCUCCCUGUGAGCACAGGUGGAUCUGGGAGCUGCUGCCCUCGGAGGGCACGGCCAGGAUCAGCCCUGCUGGCCCUGGAGACACACGUGCCAAGCUCCAGAGGAGCCCAGUGAAGGCGUGGGAUGGGCUGGGAGAUGCCAGCUCCUGGCAAACCGGGCAGCAGG
ensembl:lncRNA